rnacentral:lncRNA from 1 species
UUAAAUGGAGAAUUCUGUCGAGAUUGAAGCCAUUCAGUGUAAUUUCAAUUCAGUGAAAAGUAAGAAUUGGCAGCCAGCUUCAGGACCAACUUUGGAAGGGAAAAAGAAGAUUUGGCUUUUGAGAUGAAUAAGAGAAAUGUAGAGAAAUAAGUUCUCUACAACUUAUAUAAAGGAAAUUUUGAGAGUUUAAGUGAAAAAACUG